rnacentral:rRNA from 1 species
UACAGAGGUCUCAAGCGUUGUUCGGAUUCAUUGGGCGUAAAGGGUGCGUAGGCGGCGCGGUAAGUCGGGUGUGAAAUCUCGGGGCUUAACUCCGAAACUGCAUUCGAUACUGCCGUGCUUGAGGACUGGAGAGGAGACUGGAAUUUACGGUGUAGCGGUGAAAUUCGUAGAUAUUCGCAAGAACACCAGUGGCGAAGGCGCUCACUGGCCCGAUACUGACGCUGAGGCACGAAAGCGUGGGGAAGCAAACAGGG